rnacentral:rRNA from 1 species
UACGUAGGGAGCGAGCGUUAUCCGGAAUUAUUGGGCGUAAAGGGUGCGUAGAUGGCAAUAAAAGUUCUUUGUAAAAAUGCUAGGCUCAACCUAGUAGGGCAAGGGAUACUAUAUAGCUAGAGUAUGAUAGAGGCAAGUGGAACUCCAUGUGUAGCGGUAAAAUGCGUAAAUAUAUGGAAGAACACCAGUGGCGAAGGCGGCUUGCUAGGUCAAUACUGACAUUGAGGCACGAAAGCGUGGGGAGC